rnacentral:rRNA from 1 species
UACGAAGGGUGCAAGCGUUAAUCGGAAUUAUUGGGCGUAAAGGGUGCGUAGGCGGUUCGGUAAGUUUCGUGUGAAAUCUUCGGGCUCAACUCGAAGCCUGCACGAGAUACUGCCGGGCUUGAGUGUGGGAGAGGUGAGUGGAAUUUCCGGUGUAGCGGUGAAAUGCGUAGAUAUCGGAAGGAACACCUGUGGCGAAAGCGGCUCACUGGACCAAAACUGACGCUGAGGCACGAAAGCUAGGGGAGCAAACAGG